rnacentral:rRNA from 1 species
UGGAAUGGCAGAUGUAUUAUCAGUGAGCACUACUUAAAACUGUUAUCUUUUCAGAGAACUUACUGGAAGCAAAGAGCUACAAUAAGAUGGGUCAAGCUGGGUGAUGAAAACACCAAAUUCUUUCAAGCAAAAGCUACAAUCAAAUACAGGAAAAAUCAUAUUAGUACCCUGCAAGAUGAAUCUGGGCAGGAGGCAACUGAGCAUCAAGCAAAAGCAGCAAUUCUUUGGAGAGCUUUUAAGGAAAGAUUGAGCACAUCUUCACCCAUAUUUGAGCCUUUUCCCUUGGAUAGUCUGCUGCACAAACAUGAGAAUCUAAAGGAGUUGGAAAGGCUUUUUACAAAAGAAGAAAUAGAUGUUGUGGUAGCACAACUAUCUUCUGACAAGGCAUCUGGGCCAGAUGGUUUUAAUGGGGCUUUCAUUAAGGCUUGCUGGAAUAUCAUUUCUGCAGAUUUUUAUGAUCUGAUCAAAGACUUUUAUGAAGGAAAUGUUAAUCUGCAGAGCAUCAACUCCUCAUUUAACACACUCAUUCCAAAAAAAAAUAACCCCAUGCUCCCU